rnacentral:rRNA from 1 species
GAAUGCUGACAUAAGUAACGAUAAAGCGGGUGAAAAGCCCGCUCGCCGGAAGACCAAGGGUUCCUGUCCAACGUUAAUCGGGGCAGGGUGAGUCGACCCCUAAGGCGAGGCCGAAAGGCGUAGUCGAUGGGAAACAGGUUAAUAUUCCUGUACUUGGUGUUACUGCGAAGGGGGGACGGAGAAGGCUAUGUUGGCCGGGCGA